AGGCCGAUUUCAAUGGCUGGAAUACAUAGACACCUCUUAACUUUUUAGUAAAAAUUGUUUAGACGCCUCAACUAGGACCAUGACCUAUCUACCGCUCGAUUGAAGUUUGCAGCAUAGCAGAGUUGUGGAUUUAGUAUGCAGAUUAGUUAAAACAGGGUAAGAUGGCAAAAUGCUCAAACACUUGAGAAAAGAGGUAUGUGAAGUGUUUCUGUUACAACAGUCAAUAUGUGAAGUCUUUAUUAAAAACGUAUUGCAAUACCACAUGCCCUUGAAAUUAGAUAAGUGUGUUUAACUCAGCUAAAUGUUGGUAGGGAAAUUGGAAUAGAUUUGUCUAAAAUUAAGAGUAACAAAUUGGAUUGGAUCAUUCAUCUCAACUUUCCCUGUGGAAUCAUAGAUUAGUGUGUUUAACUCAACGCAUGAGUUUAUUAGUUAAAAACCAUAGAAUUCUGUAUUAAUUUUGUCCUCAACCUAUGCUUCUUAGUUUACAGUUUCUUUCCUUCUUUAUAAGCUCUCAGUUUUCUUUAAGUAAUUAUUAUGUUCUUAGGUAAGUGGCCUACUGUGAUCGUGCUAGAAAUAAUAAAAUGAGAAUUAUGAAGACAAGUUAAUCAAGUUGUCACUUUUCACUAAGUGUCUUGCUUCAAGAAGGGGAUCUUAUCGCGACGUGUAAGAGUUGUCGCUGUGUGAAAAGGAAAUCAUGUGUUCUAGCCGUGCAAAGUGCAAACAACAUCUUGCAAAAAUGCAAAGUAAGGUUUUGAACAAUAGACCAAAUGUGUUCGGCCCCUCUCUAGACCCCACACAUAGUGGGAGGUUAGUGCACCGGGCUGCCCUUAUUUUUAUAUAUCUUGUUUCAAAAUUUCUUAACUGAUCAUGGGAUGUUUGGAAAUAUAACCUUUCUUUAUUAAUUUAGAUGCUAUGUUCUAGCAUCACUCUGGUGUGUUUGUCUGGCUCUUUCUCUAGGUUGGGCAUAAGUGUGUGUGCUUCUAGCUUGUAAAAUGUAAAAUCAAAAGCUGAUAACAGGAGAAUCUUAGUAGUCCAGUUGAUUGGCUACUUGAAUUUUCACCUUGUUGGUGGGGGUUCGAUUCCCCUCCUUGCAAUAUCUUCCCCCAUUUCCCCUUCCCCUCCUGCUAUGCACAAUGAAAAAAAUGAUAACAAUAACUAUAUAAGAGCUGUAACAUUACCGAGAUAUGGUGUGUUUCUCACGUAGAAAGAUGACCAUUGUGUCGUUUCUUCUUGACUUAUUAGUGAUGAUAUCUUUUUGAUUCCCUCUUCAAUUCAGUUCUAGGAAUUGGGUCUUAUGUGAACAACACAUACUGAAGAAGAUGAGUGAGUCUAAGAAUUGGUUGGUUAGUAGAAAUCAUGAUCUAAGGAAGCAAGGAUCAAAUGAGGGAUUUUUUCAAACAUGUAAACUUGAGAAAUUAGCUGUACUAAAAUUUGUUGCCGCUGGUAUGUUCAACUUGUGUGAUUUCAGAUUCAGCAAUCCAUUUAUGUCAUGUGACUUCAGAUUGAAAUACUAUUGGGAAUUCCCUUUCCAGUAAGUCCAGUAGUACUCUUGUCACCUGACGCGUUUGGGUACAGUAACGUAUAAGGCAUCUGUAUAGGUCCUUUUCGGUUCUUCAAUGUAUUGUCGUUGUUCCUAUCCAUUAUUCUGUUCUCGAUUUCUACCAGUUUGUCAUGGAAUCCCUCAAAUGCAUGUCGUGGUUUACUAUCAGAAGUCCAUUCAGGAGCAUCUCUUUGUCCAAGAUAAAUCUCAUCUGAAGAAUGCAUGGAUAACAUCUCUAUCAAAGAGAUGCCAAGAAGAGUUUGGAACUGGGCUGUGAUGGUCUUUAGGUAGGCUCGCUCAUGGUUUGACUCAAGCUCAACAUACUCAGGAGUGCCUGGCAUUGGCAUAAAGCGCCGGCUUACGGUUGGGCGAUUUGGGAGAUAACCAGCAUAAGGAUAUUGCCCAAAAUUAACUGCUGCAUGAAGAGCAGAAGCCACCCAUAUGAUUAUGGUGCAUGUUUGGACAAGCUCAGCUCUUGUCUGCAUCUGAGGCCACCAUGGUUCAUCUUUCAAGUCACCAUGACCCACGUUGCGAACUUCUGUCCACCAUGAUUGAAGUUCAGGAUCAUCUUGGAUCAUUUCAUCCGCUAUGUAAUAGAAUGAGCAAUACUCUUCCACCCAGGUUUCAAUUGCUGACCAAAUCUCAAGUCCAUCAACGGCGUAAGGAUAAUCCUCUAUCAGAAGUCUAAGGCCAUGAGGCUGGCUUGGGUCUGGUACUGCAACUCCUCUAUAAAUUAAAAAUAAUUGAGAGCAUUACUUGGACAAGAUGGAUAUGACAUUGAAUUUUAAGCUGUAACAACUAGUGACCUACCUCUUAAGUAGAUCUGCAGGGAGUGCCUGCUCAGUGAACACCCAAUUCUUAUAGAUGGAAGAAGACAUUUCCAUGGCAUACUUGGAUGGAAAUACUGUCAACUCAAGUAUUCCACCUGCAUUAAUGAGGAUCUGCCGAGCCAAAGCAUUGAUGUUCAUUGUAUCACGGAAGUGGGGAUGUAGAAGCUUAUAGAUUGGAUGAAGCACACUCAAUUGUCUGUUUGUUGCUAUAAUAAAUGGCUCUAAAGCUGCAUGGGUAUUCAACCUGCAAAGUAUGUAACAAAAUUAAUGUAGUGACUUCAAGAGGUGACCUGCUUCUAUAGUUUCUACCUUUUCAUCUGCUUUGUUAAGUAGCUCACCAGUGACUGACGAGCUGAUGAUACCCAGAAUCAUUUACAGCAACAUAGGCUUUAGCCAGAUGCCAGACAUAGCCUUCAGCACUCUCAUCAUUACAUGGGGUAAAUACUUGACUGCUGGAACCAUGUUUAUCUCCUUGUGGGUGUGGUAAGCUCAGUUCGAUUGCAAGUGGCUUCAAUGUUCCAUCAUCUUGGAGUAAAAGGAGGGUCCGACUAGCAUAGAUCUUAUUGGAUGUUGAGUUAAUCCGAUUAAGAUAAGGCAUAAGCCCGUCAUGAUAAUCUAAGAUGAAUAGCCUGUUAUACUUUAUUGCCUGUGACCACAAAAGAUAAAUGUGUAAAAUAUAUAGAAUCUAAAAUGGAAACAGAUGAAUAGUUUCCAUAUACAAAGGAUGCCUUGGUUUUCUCUUCCUUUCUUUAUGAUAAAUCACCAGAAAAAAGUUGGUCCUCAGAAAAAGAAAAAAAAAACAGAAAAAGAAAUGAAGAAUGAGUAUUACAUCAUCCACAGUUAGUCCAUCCAUGUAUUUCUCAAUCUGCUCUCUUGUGAUUUUACUAGUUUGGUUGCCAUAUACUUCAGGAUUUAGCUUGCUUGUGGGUGGAAAUUCCUGAUAGGCAUUUAGUCUUUUAGUAUCUGCAUUCAAAGAGUACAAAAACACAUAGAAAAGAUAAAAAAAUUCGUAAUUGAUAUUACCUGGAGACGCUGGAUAAUCACAGGAUUGACUCCAGCCAGCAUUUCACGUCCAAACUCUUCAUCUGUCCUCCAUGCAGAGUUAUCUUCUGUAUUUUUUUUUUUUUUGGGAAAGGGUUCACAAUUAAUUUACUUUUUCACCUUAGGAAGUACUCAGAGGCUAAAGUAGUUGUGGAGCCAGAGAAAGAGAACACAUAAGCACCUUUAAUUACAUGAGGAAUUGGAAAUUUAUGAAGUUGUCCUUUAAGCAUCUCCCAUGGCAUGCUUUCCGUGGAGUUAUCAGGAACUCGACCUUUAUAGACUUUUUGUACAUGUUUGAAGCUGUUAAACUCAUUAAAAGGUUUGGCUAACAGAGAUGCAAGCUGUGGAAUUAUGACCCGACCCAUUGAUUUGGCACCAUAUCGAAGGAAAUCCAUAAAUUUCACAUGGUUGAAACGUUCAUCUCGUGGAACAUAAAUGUUCAAACUCAGAAGUGGAAGCCGGCUCUCUAAGCUAGAAUCUGUAACAGCAAACUUAACUCUUUCAACAUGUUCUAUUAGUGGUUCUAAGACAACACCUGGAAAUAUGAUGACAUUAAUAUGUUUGCAGCCUAACCUCUUUUAGUCAGUGGACGGCCCGUUCUUCCCCUUCGGGGGUAUGGAUAAUCCUUUCCCCCACCAAGCACUGGUCGACCAUGUCCUAAAUCAUUGUAGACUGCAUAGUCGUAAACCCUGUCCCAUUCCUCGAGUUUGCCAGAACCUGUACCCUGAAGAUUAAUGAGCUCCUCAUUCCUGUAUGGCCGAAGGGGUUCUGGUGUGUUGCAUGGCAGGUAUGUCUGAUAACACCAAAAAUUAGAGAUUCAGUCUCUAUCAUGAUCCAUAAGUUUGAAUUAAAUCCUGUACGCACGACUUGGUUAAGAUUUAGUAUGUCAGUGUAGGUAUAAUGUGAGAUUAGAGAACUUCAACUAGUUUGGAUUGAGGAAUAGUUGAUUGAUUGAUAUGACAGUCUUAUUUUCAUCUAUAUAAAAACUCUAGGUUUACAUAGCCUUCUAUCCUGUCAUACUUUAGGACUGUCAUCAUAAUCCUGUAAGUCAGGAAGUUCAGAACUAUUUUGAAGAGGAACAUAUCUUAUUUAACUUGAAAAUGUAUUUUUUUUUUUUUUUGUGUAUCUGGGAAUCAUACAGUUAGGUUUAACCUAUCAGUAUGUAUUUUUUGCCUAGAAAAUUGAAGUGCAUCCUCAACCUUAGUGCUUUCUUCUGCAAUUACGUGUAAUAAGCUCUGCCAGUUCCUGUUGAGUGAUUACAAUGUUUUGCAGGCAUCAUAUAGAUUCCUGGAGUAAGGUUAAGAAAUAUGAAUACCUUGUUGCUAAAAAACACCCGAUCGUACUUGUAGCGAUGUGCUGGAUACACCCAAGAAUUGCAGACGAAACGAACUUCACCAUGUCCGGGAAUAUCUUCUAAAGCAACGGUCUUCAGGUAAAACUGGCUAUGAUGAUAGUUCUUUAUAAUGAAAGCACCUGGAACUCCUAUUGACUCAUCCAACUCAAAUGUAAUAUUGAAUGUAGCUUCUUCCACUGAUAUCCAAGUCUUGCUGGAUGUCCAGUCCAAAAUUGCUGGUUUUCCCACCUUCCCUUUUGAUCCAUUUCCUUUAAGAAUGAAAAAAAAAAAUUGUGCUUCAAUGUUACUGUACAGAAUAACAUACAUUCUGCAUUUAUUGCAUUAAGGCUUCCAAAUUAAUCCGAAGUAGUUGAUUUCAAACAUUUAAACGACUGCAGAGAAGGAACUAUCAAGGUUUUCUUAUGGUAUUUUUGCUUCUAAAUGGGAGGAAACCAGGGAAAUAAAACCUUUAGAUUUAUUCUGCUGCUUACUUUCGCAAAAUUUGUUGGUGAAAAUGGAAUAACCAGGCAUUCAGAAUUCAGGUAGUGGAGGUUCAGGAGUUAAAAUUUUGAAACUCCAGAAUAAGAGUUUGUUACUAAAAUGGCGUCGGAGGUUUAAUGAUUUUAACAAUGAACUAUGGAACAAUGUUAUAACCAUUAAAUAUAUGGUAAGAAUGAGGAGAGGUGCACUAACAGUGUAAGAGGUGUGUAUGGUGUAUCUGUUUGGAAGCCUACUAGGAGUCUAUGGGAAGAAUUUUAUGACUGUUUAAGCUGAAAGUUGGCAAUGGAAGAAGAGUGAAGAUGUGGUCAAAUAGGUGGCUAUGACACUUCCUUAAUUGAGCAGUUUCCAGAUCUUUAUGCAAUCAUAUCGAACAAGCACUCUAUGGCUGAUUUCUACUUUUAUUUAAGAAGGAACUUGGAUGACUGGGAGAUUGAUUGCAUAAAUGACUUCAUUCAACAGCUAAAACCUGUCUCUAUUUGAUGAUCAGGUGGCUGAUUCUUUGUUGCGGACGGUUAAGAAAAUGGUAAAUGUACUGUCAAAGUAAUGUUAUAAAAGCCUCUUGAGGAAAAUAGGUGGAAUCCAUGACUGUUGACCGUGGAAGAUAAUCUGGAAAUCUAUUGUCCCCGUAGAGCUGCUUGCUCCACUGCACUGUUACCAAGAAAAUAUGGUCAAUGUUCCGGAGCAUUUUUGGAGUCCAAUUGGUUACGCCAGGAAGAAUAAAACUUGCCUUACACAGCUCGUAUGCACAGCCAUUUGCUAGGGGCAGCAAACACUGCUGCAAUGCAGUUCCUACUUGCAUAUUCUGAAUACUUGACUAGAUAGAAAGCAACAGAUGUUUUAAUGAUAAGAGUGAUAACAUUGCAAAUGUAAUAUCUAGAUGCUGUACGGAUCUUUCUUUGUGGUGUGGGAAGAACAUUGUAUCUGACAUAAUAACUAACAAGUAUAAUAACUAACAAGUUUGUUUGCAUCUCUUUGCUCAGCUCUAGGGAGAAAAUGUAAAUUACCAGGAUCAGCAUGGACAUCACUAAUGAGCUCUAGGAUGACGCGUUU
rnacentral:lncRNA from 1 species